rnacentral:rRNA from 1 species
CGGCAGGCUUAACACAUGCAAGUUGAACGGGAUUGCUGGUGCUUGCACUGAGCGAUGAGAGUAGCGCACUGGUGAGUAACACGUGGGAACAUGCCUUUUGGUGGGGGACAACAGAGGGAAACUUCUGCUAAUACCGCAUAAGCCCUAAGGGGGAAAGAUUUAUUGCCGAAAGAUUGGCCCGCGGAAGAUUAGGUAGUUGGUGGGGUAAAGGCCUACCAAGCCGACGAUCUAUAGCUGGUCUGAGAGGACGAACAGCCACAUUGGAACUGAGACACGGUCCAGACUCCUACGGGAGGCAGCAGUGAGGAAUAUUGGGCAAUGGAGGAAACUCUGAACCCCCAGCCAUGCCGCGUGAGUGAAGAAGGUUUUCGAAUUGUAAAGCUCUUUCGGAUACGAGGAUGAUGACGGUAGUAUCUAAAGGAGCCCCGGCAAACUUCGUGCCAGCCGCAGC